rnacentral:rRNA from 1 species
AUUGAACGCUGGCGGCAGGCCUAACACAUGCAAGUCGAACGGUAACAGGAAGAAGCUUGCUUCUUUGCUGACGAGUGGCGGACGGGUGAGUAAUGUCUGGGAAACUGCCUGAUGGAGGGGGAUAACUACUGGAAACGGUAGCUAAUACCGCAUAACGUCGCAAGACCAAAGAGGGGGACCUUCGGGCCUCUUGCCAUCGGAUGUGCCCAGAUGGGAUUAGCUAGUAGGUGGGGUAACGGCUCACCUAGGCGACGAUCCCUAGCUGGUCUGAGAGGAUGACCGGCCACACUGGAACUGAGACACGGUCCAGACUCCUACGGGAGGCAGCAGUGGGGAAUAUUGCACAAUGGGCGCAAGCCUGAUGCAGUCAUGCCGCGUGUAUGAAGAAGGCCUUCGGGUUGUAAAGUACUUUCAGCGGGGAGGAAGGGAGUAAAGUUAAUACCUUUGCUCAUUGACGUUACCCGCAGAAGAAGCACCGGCUAACUCCGUG